rnacentral:tRNA from 6 species
GGGCGGUUAGCUCAGUUGGUUAGAGCGCUGCUUUCACACGGCAGAGGUCACGUGUUCGAGUCACGUACCGCCCACCA